CUGGCUUUCAGAUCUUCAUCAGGCUCGCCUCGCACACAACAGUAUCAGCUCUGAGGGAAACCAGUGAAAAGAAAGAUUCCAUUUUAAGGCUUUGUAAUGACUGUUCCCUUACCACUGGCGUCCUGCAGGCGGAAGGAGAGACAAGAACUGCCCUCUCAGCCUUUCAAUGAAGAGAAUUAGAAGACCAAAAUGGUCACCAAGAAAUCUUUCUCUGACUAUGUCUUUAUUCAUUCAGUACAACAUUUGCUUGCUAACUUUUCCAGAGAUGAAGAUCGUUGGAAUUUAUAAUAGCAUGGCCUCAAGAAAUGUUGCACACAUUCAGAACAUCUUGUUUGGCACUAGGCCCCACAUACAGCCUGCACCUUGAAACUUAGUCCAUGAAAGCUUCUGAUAACCCUGAUAAAGCACCGCCGGUAGAGUAGCUCCUCCAGAUCCCUCUUUUCUGAUGUCAAAUUCAUCUGUGAAUACCAAAUUACCCUUAGCCAGUAAGUGAUAUGCUGAAAAAUGCACGUAUCCAGAAGACACAGGCAGUGUUCUGUGGUUUGAAGCUGUGUGGAUAUGGAGGUGCAUGGCCAGUGGAAAGAAGAACGUGGAUCUGUAUUUCGAUUUCUUUAUCACAUUUGAAAGAAUUUACACUCGCCAGAAAGUGCAGCAUUUAUUCAUAUCAUCUUCUGGUGCUUCAGUUUCCAAGCUCUGUUACUUACCUGACCUACGUCCUCAGCAUCUGAAUGGGGAAUGUCAACCAGACAGCAGAUGGAACAUCAGAAAGAAAUAUGAGAUCAGUUUGAAGUUACAGCUUUCUGUUGAAGAGCCAAUUAUUGGCCGGGGUCUCUUCCAUUUAGAUAAGAAAAACAUUGAGAUUUUACCUCAGCUAAGCAAAUAAAAUGAAACCUUACCUUUCUUUAUAACUCUGAGUUUGAACCGGUACCCCAAGUUAGCGCCCAAGAAAUUUAAGUCCAUUUACCAUUUCAUUACUGAAAACAAGCUGAGUGAUCAAAGCAGAACUGGAUGAGAACUCGUUAUCAGUGGAGAGAGAAGAAAUCUACGUAUUCCUCUUCAAAGAAGCCUUGCUCUUAUCAGCUAAUCAAGGCUGCACUUGCUGUGAUUCCGGAGUCUGGUUCCUCUAUUCUCUGAAAUCCUUCAUUCAGAAAAUGUGUUCCUCCAUAUGUCCACAUAGUCCCACCAAAUUAAAGAAACAGAGGAAACAAACAGUGGGAGCACAAAUGUCUUUUUUGACUCUUUCGACAGAACGAGAACAACUGACUAGGAAUCAGAGCAAGGACUUAAAGGUGCUGAGAUGUGUUCCAUUCUUCUGUAGAUUCAGUGGUUUAGCACUGAGAUUUGUGCUAUCUGCCAGCUUCAAGCUCUAAUGAAAGCACAGAAAAUAGCAGAAAACAAAGGAGCCAAAGCAUGACUGUACUUCUCAGACAACUGAAAAUCUCUGGAAAGGCCAUUCUGGCACAGAAAAGGCAGUAAAAAGGCAGUGAAGGUUCAUGAACUCUGUGUGACAAAAACAGCAAUUUCUUUAUUGUAAGACAACUUUUAGGACUGCAACUCUGCUCAAAAUGAAGAGAAAUAUUGUAACGUAAAAAAAAAAAAAAUAAUAAUACACAUUUCCUGAUUAUAUUAAUGUAAAGAUUCUACUUCUGUUCAGAUGAGGAAGAAAGUUUUCAGAAGAUAUUUAGGAUGCUUUUUUCUACAAAACAUUUUUCCUGGGAGAAGUAUUUAAUUUUUUUCUUGUUCUUUCCGUAUUUCCUUCCAUGGGGAUAUGUUACCUCUGCUAUUUUGUGUGUUUCUCUCCAGACACCAUUUGUGUUCCCACUGCUUCACGAUAUGCAGGGGCUGUGGGGAAAUUUGUUCCCAGGGCCAUCCCCUCAGUCCUCCAAAAUCCUUAAGCUAUCAAAAUUUGCAGUAGACUUUUGCAGAGCAGUUCUGCCGGCUCAGUCACAACCUCUUGAAAGAAAAUGUUGCGUGAAGCUGCCCUGUGCUUAGGCCCUCAGCAAGGAAACUCUGCAGCUCAUAGGGGCAGUUAAAGGUUCCUCUGGUCCCCAGCUGUGUCACAGUUUGCUCCUUUUGGGCAUGACUGAGCAAUGCCAAGUCACCAUAAGCUGACAUGGAAUAAGUAUUUUGCAGCCAAGCAAAUAAAAAUAUCUGUACUCCUCAAGUUUCAGUUGACUAAUUUUUAUUUCUCUGAAACUUUUGUCAAAACCAUCCCAAAGAAUGGGUUCUUUAUCUUGUUUUGUUAUCUUUAGAAUAUAAAUGGACUGCAGCACGCUUCAUACUGUAAAUAGUGACUUUGAGUGGCCUUAUUCCAGCAGCAGCUGAACAAAUAUUUCUAACACGGACAACUCCUCUUCCCUCUUUCUCAGAUGGACAGACCACAUAUUAUUCCUGUCAGUUCUCAUGUCUAAUGUGGUCAGCCUGUGGAGGGAAGCUCCCAGAAAGGAAGGAAUUCAAACAUCACAGUUACCUUUUCAGUAGCCUUAACCAGAAUGUACCUCCUAGGAGCAUCCCCAGAGAACACGUUCUGAACUCUCCAAGUUAAGGCCAAUAGGCUGCUGAGCGCUAAGAGCGCUCCAAGAAGCAGACUGUACAGGAGAUGUAUACAUACGUCAGCAGGCUCUGCAAAGGGCUAUUGUAGCAUGUUAGCCUUUUGGAAAAGAGUUCAGGCAAGUCUGCUUAAUGAAAUCAGGUUUGUUUGCACUGUUGUACCAAAAUAAUUUGAGGGAAAAUGUAAUAAUCCUAAUUGCCAUGCUAAAUAAUUACAGUUGAACGUUUUAUUUACAAUUAUCUGCUGAAAUAAUAUGACCAUUAAUAAAGAGGCAUUGUUUUGAUUCCU